AUGGAAUGUUCCAUUGUCUGUUAGGUUCCUUUGAUGCCUCCUACCAUCCUGAUGACACAUAGAGAUGAAGGAAAGGCACAAGUUUGCUCUGUGUGAGCUGAGGAAAUAGGAUGUCAUCCCAAAUGUCUUCAAGCUUCCAGUCUCUCCCAGCCUGGCCAGGUCCACUGUCCGCUACUUCAGCAUUCACAACAUCUGCACUACAAAAAAUCUGCAUUUCCUGUUACGUCCUGUUAGAGGAGAGCAUUUGAAGCUUUGGGGGCAAAUAUCCAUGGGAAGUAGAAGGAGAGAUAAAACCUGGAUUAUGCAAAUAAAACAUCCAAAAGCAAAAACAAUUGUUAACAAGCCCAGAAGAAACUGACAGUGGCUAAGGCUUGGACACACCUGCAAAUAAAUUCCUUCAAUAAGAAAGCUCCAAAAUGGAUUUUCAGAAACUGCCUCCAGAAUCCACAGAAGGUCAGUUUGAAACUGGCUUUUCAAGGACAGGCAUGCACAAAAGAUGCUCCACCCUAAAUGAUGACUUUUUCCAUCACAAACUCAAAAAUCCUCCACAUGGAACAAGACAACACCCGCUAGAAAGGAAAAGUGGACCCAUGAAGAGGCAUGAUGAUUGUUGAGAGCUACACAAAAGAACUCUUAACUCUUUACCUUCUCGCCAUCCAAGCACUAAGCAAUUUCUCUUCUCUCUUUCUAUAAAUUUUGUUACUACCAGCCAACUGGGGAGAUUUGAGCUUUCAUCAUGUCUCCUUGAUCAUCCAACCCCAAUA